rnacentral:rRNA from 1 species
GAUGAACGCUGGCGGCGUGCCUAAUACAUGCAAGUCGAGCGAACGGACGAGAAGCUUGCUUCUCUGAUGUUAGCGGCGGACGGGUGAGUAACACGUGGAUAACCUACCUAUAAGACUGGGAUAACUUCGGGAAACCGGAGCUAUACCGGAUGAUAUUUUGAACCGCAUGGUUCAAAAGUUAAAGACGGUCUUUCUUUCACUUAUAGAUUGAUCCGCGCUGCAUUAGCUAGUUGGUAAGGUAACGGCUUACCAAGGCAACGAUGCAUAGCCGACCUGAGAGGGUGAUCGGCCACACUGGAACUGAGACACGGUCCAGACUCCUACGGGAGGCAGCAGUAGGGAAUCUUCCGCAAUGGGCGAAAGCCUGACGGAGCAACGCCGCGUGAGUGAUGAAGGUCUUCGGAUCGUAAAACUCUGUUAUUAGGGAAGAACAUAUGUGUAAGUAACUGUGCACAUCUUGACGGUACCUAAUCAGAAAGCCACGGCUAACUACGUG